rnacentral:rRNA from 1 species
GACGAACGCUGGCGGCGUGCCUAAUACAUGCAAGUCGAACGCAGUGGGGACGGGUGAGUAACACGUGGGUAACCUCCCAUCAGAGGGGAUAACACUUGGAAACAGGUGCUAAACCGAUACUGAUGGAUGUACCCGCGGUGCAUUAGCUAGGUGGUGAGGUAACGGCUCACCAAGGACACGAUACAUAGCGACCCUGUGAGGUGGUUCGGCAACACUGGGACUGAGACACGGCCCAGACUCCUACGGGAGGAAGCAGUAGGGAAUCUUGGGAAAUGGACGAAAGUCUGACCGAGCAACGCCGCGUGAGUGAAGAAGGUUUUGGGAUCGUAAAACUCUGUUGUUAGAGAAGCGGUAUCUAACCAGAAAGCCACGGCUAACUACGUGCCAGCAGCCGCGGUAAUUC